rnacentral:rRNA from 1 species
UACGUAGGGGGCAAGCGUUGUCCGGAAUCAUUGGGCGUAAAGAGCGUGUAGGCGGCUCGGUAAGUCCGCUGUGAAAGUCCAGGGCUCAACCCUGGAAUGCCGGUGGAAACUGUCGAGCUAGAGUCCGGAAGAGGCGAGUGGAAUUCCUGGUGUAGCGGUGAAAUGCGUAGAUAUCAGGAGGAACACCUGUGGUGUAGACAGCUUACUGGACCAUUUCUGACGCUGAGACACGAAAGCGUGGGUAGCAAACAGG